GUUGACCCCUUUAGGAGUUAUUGCCCUUUAUAGUCAAUUUUUAACCAUUUUUCGUAAAUCUUAGUAAUCUAUUACAAAAAUCUUCUCCUCUGAAACUACUUGGCCAAAUUAAUCCAAACUUGGCCACAAUCAUCUUUGGGGUAUCUAGUUUAAAAAAUGUGUGGCGUGACCCGGCCAACCAACCAAGAUGGCCACCAUGGCUAAAAAUAGAACAUAGGGGUGAAAUGUAGAUUUUGGCUUAUAACUCUGAAACCAAAGCAUUUAGAGCAAAUCUGACAUGGGGUAAAAUUGUUCAUCAAGUGAAAAUUUAUCAGCCUUGAAACUUUCAAAUGAAUAGGACAACCGGUUAUUGGGUUGCUGCACCGAA
rnacentral:lncRNA from 1 species